UACGUAGGGGGCAAGCGUUGUCCGGAUUUAUUGGGCGUAAAGAGCGUGUAGGCGGUUUGUCGCGUCUGCCGUGAAAGUCCGGGGCUCAACUCCGGAUCUGCGGUGGGUACGGGCAGACUAGAGUGAUGUAGGGGAGACUGGAAUUCCUGGUGUAGCGGUGAAAUGCGCAGAUAUCAGGAGGAACACCGAUGGCGAAGGCAGGUCUCUGGGCAUUAACUGACGCUGAGGAGCGAAAGCAUGGGGAGCGAACAGG
rnacentral:rRNA from 1 species